UACGUAGGCAGCGAGCGUUGUUCGGAAUUACUGGGCGUAAAGAGUGUGUAGGCGGUGCUCCCAGUCUGUUGUGAAAUCUCCCGGCUUAACUGGGAGGGUGCAGCGGAAACUAGAGUGCUAGAGGGUGGGAGAGGUAAGCGGAAUUCCUGGUGUAGCGGUGAAAUGCGUAGAUAUCGGAAAGAACACCAACGGCGAAAGCACUCUGCUGGGCCGACACUGACACUGAGAGACGAAAGCUAGGGGAGCGAAUGGG
rnacentral:rRNA from 1 species